AUGCAGGCAACGGACAAGUUUCUUAUCAAAAGAAAGGCACCAUCACAAGAUGCUCCAGAAGACAUGAAUUGGGAGGAGGAGAUUCAAUAUGAUCCAGGCAAGAGGAAAUUGAUAGAACAUUAUCAUCCAAAUUUGAAAGACUUGGUAAGAAGAAAGUAAUUGCUUAAUUGACCUUGUCAGCCAAAAGAUAUCGAUUUUCCAUAUUCAAUCUUUGGGACUAAGAGGAGAAGGUUCAAUCCUGAAUUGUUUGAUGAUCAUUAGAGUUGGGAUCGUGGCCACAAGAAAGAAGCUGGGUAUGAAGCAUUUCUUCUGAAUGGUUGGGAUACCUGGAGCGUUCCAUCAAGGCUAAAAGAUCAUGUUGGCGAGCCAGGUAGUGUCCAUGAUCAAGCAAUGAAAAAAUGUACCGCUCUACUAAAAAGAGAUGAACACAUUGAUGUUGCUAUGCAAUUUCGAGGUGAAGCUUCGAAGGUUGCAUAUUUUACUCGACUGAAUGCCGCAAUUGACACGGCUAGACUAUUGUUGAAGCAAGGGUUGUGUAACGCCCUGAGACCGAUGUGCCAGGUGUCGUCCAGUUAUUCGCUGUUGUUGCGUUGUCAUUGCUUGCGUGUCAUGCAUCUCAUAUCAUGUCAUCAUGUGCAUUUCAUUUGCAUACAUGUUCGUCUCAUGCAUCCGAGCAUUUUUCCCGUUGUCUGUUUUGCAUUCCGGCGCUCCUAUCUCCUCCGGUGGUCCUUUCUACCUUUUUUUCAUUUGUGGGGAUUAAAUAUUUCUGGAUUGGACCGAGACUUGCCAAGCAUCCUUGGUUUACUACCGGUAGACCGCCUGUCAAGUUUCGUAUCAUUUGGACUUCGUUUGAUGCUUCAACGGUUAACCGAGGGACCGUAA
rnacentral:rRNA from 1 species